CCCAAGAGUUCAUAUCGACGGCGGUGUUUGGCACCUCGAUGUCGGCUCAUCACAUCCUGGGGCUGAAGUAGGUCCCAAGGGUAUGGCUGUUCGCCAUUUAAAGUGGUACGCGAGCUGGGUUUAGAACGUCGUGAGACAGUUCGGUCCCUAUCUGCCGUGGGCGCUGGAGAACUGAGGGGGGCUGCUCCUAGUACGAGAGGACCGGAGUGGACGCAUCACUGGUGUUCGGGUUGUCAUGCCAAUGGCACUGCCCGGUAGCUAAAUGCGGAAGAGAUAAGUGCUGAAAGCAUCUAAGCACGAAACUUGCCCCGAGAUGAGUUCUCCCUGACCCUUUAAGGGUCCUGAAGGAACGUUGAAGACGACGACGUUGAUAGGCCGGGUGUGUAAGCGCAGCGAUGCGUUGAGCUAACCGGUACUAAUGAACCGUGAGGCUUAACCUU
rnacentral:rRNA from 1 species